rnacentral:misc_RNA from 1 species
UCCGGUUUGGCACCGGCAGUCUUCCUAGAGUCCCCGCCAUUACGCGCUGGCAACUAAGAACAGGGGUUGCGCUCGUUGCGCCACUUAAGGCAACACCUCACGGCACGAGCUGACGACAGCCAUGCAGCACCUGUGCGGGCUCCCGAAGGAGCACCGUGUUUCCACGGUUUCACCCCGCAUGUCAAGCCCAGGUAAGGUUCUUCGCGUUGCAUCGAAUUAAUCCACAUAAUCCACCGUUUGUGCGGGUCCCCGUCAAUUCCUUUGAGUCUUAACCUUGCGGCCGUACUCCCCAGGCGGUCAACUUCACGCGUUAGCUUCGUUACCAAGGAAUUGCUUCCCCGACAACCAGUUGACAUAGUUUAGGGCGUGGACUAC